UGAAGAAUUUGGACGGGUUACAUAA
rnacentral:piRNA from 1 species